UGGGGAAUAUUGGACAAUGGGCGAAAGCCUGAUCCAGCCAUGCCGCGUGUGUGAAGAAGGUCUUCGGAUUGUAAAGCACUUUAAGUUGGGAGGAAGGGCAUUAACCUAAUACGUUAGUGUUUUGACGUUACCGACAGAAUAAGCACCGGCUAACUCUGUGCCAGCAGCCGCGGUAAUACAGAGGGUGCAAGCGUUAAUCGGAAUUACUGGGCGUAAAGCGCGCGUAGGUGGUUUGUUAAGUUGGAUGUGAAAUCCCCGGACUCAACCUGGGAACUGCAUUCAAAACUGACUGACUAGAGUAUGGUAGAGGGUGGUGGAAUUUCCUGUGUAGCGGUGAAAUGCGUAGAUAUAGGAGGAACACCAGUGGCGAAGGCGACCACCUGGACUAAUACUGACACUGAGGUGCGAAAGCGUGGGGAGCAAACA
rnacentral:rRNA from 1 species